rnacentral:rRNA from 1 species
GGCGGCGUGCUUAACACAUGCAAGUCGAACGGAAAGGCCCUGCUUUUGUGGGGUGCUCGAGUGGCGAACGGGUGAGUAACACGUGAGUAACCUGCCCUUGACUUUGGGAUAACUUCAGGAAACUGGGGCUAAUACCGGAUAGGAGCUCCUGCUGCAUGGUGGGGGUUGGAAAGUUUCGGCGGUUGGGGAUGGACUCGCGGCUUAUCAGCUUGUUGGUGGGGUAGUGGCUUACCAAGGCUUUGACGGGUAGCCGGCCUGAGAGGGUGACCGGCCACAUUGGGACUGAGAUACGGCCCAGACUCCUACGGGAGGCAGCAGUGGGGAAUAUUGCACAAUGGGCGGAAGCCUGAUGCAGCAACGCCGCGUGCGGGAUGACGGCCUUCGGGUUGUAAACCGCUUUCGCCUGUGACGAAGCGUGAGUGACGGUAAUGGGUAAAGAAGCACCGGCUAACUACGUGCCAGCAGCCGCGGUGAUACGUAGGGUGCGAGCGUUGUCCGGAUUUAUUGGGCGUAAAGGGCUCGUAGGUGGUUGAUCGCGUCGGAAGUGUAAUCUUGGGGCUUAACCCUGAGCGUGCUUUCGAUACGGGUUGACUUGAGGAAGGUAGGGGAGAAUGGAAUUCCUGGUGGAGCGGUGGAAUGCGCUGAUAUCAGGAGGAACACCAGUGGCGAAGGCGGUUCUCUGGGCCUUUCCUGACGCUGAGGAGCGAAAGCGUGGGGAGCGAACAGGCUUAGAUACCCUGGUAGUCCACGCUGUAAACGGUGGGUACUAGGUGUGGGGUCCAUUCCACGGGUUCCGUGCCGUAGCUAACGCUUUAAGUACCCCGCCUGGGGAGUACGGCCGCAAGGCUAAAACUCAAAGGAAUUGACGGGGCCCCGCACAAGCGGCGGAGCAUGCGGAUUAAUUCGAUGCAACGCGUAGAACCUUACCUGGGUUUGACAUGGAUCGGGAGUGCUCAGAGAUGGGUGUGCCUCUUUUGGGGUCGGUUCACAGGUGGUGCAUGCCUGUCGUCAGCUCGUGUCGUGAGAUGUUGGGUUAAGUCCCGCAACGAGCGCAACCCUUGUUCACUGUUGCCAGCACGUUAUGGUGGGGACUCAGUGGAGACCGCCGGGGUCGACUCGGAGGAAGGUGGGGAUGACGUCAAGUCCUCAUGCCCCUUAUGUCCAGGGCUUCACGCAUGCUACAAUGGCUGGUACAGAGAGUGGCGAGCCUGUGAGGGUGAGCGAAUCUCGGAAAGCCGGUCUCAGUUCGGAUUGGGGUCUGCAACUCGACCUCAUGAAGUCGGAGUCGCUAGUAAUCGCAGAUCAGCAACGCUGCGGUGAAUACGUUCCCGGGGCUUGUACACACCGCCCGUCAAGUCAUGAAAGUUGGUAACACCCGAAGCCGGUGGCCUAACCGUUGUGGGGGAGCCGUCGAAGGUGGGACUGGUGAUUAGGACUAAGUCAUAACAAG